rnacentral:rRNA from 1 species
AGAGUUUGAUCAUGGCUCAGGACGAACGCUGGCGGCGUGCUUAACACAUGCAAGUCGAACGGGGUCCAUCCGGUGGCAACACCGGAGAAGACCCAGUGGCGAACGGGUGAGUAACACGUGAGGAACCUGCCCCGAAGACCGGGAUAACAGCGGGAAACCGCUGCUAAUACCGGAUACCCCCCAUCGGACCCCAUGGCCUG